CAGUUCUGAACAUCAGGUACAGUUCUAAACAUACAGGUACAGUUCUAAUCAUACAGGUACAGUUCUAAUCAUACAGGUACAACAUCAGGUACAGUUCUAAUCAUACAGGUACAGUUCUAAACAUACAGGUACAACAUCAGGUACAGUUCUAAUCAUACAGGUACAGUUCUAAUCAUACAGGUACAGUUCUAAUCAUACAGGUACAACAUCAGGUACAGUUCUAAUCAUACAGGUACAGUUCUAAUCAUACAGGUACAGUUCUAAACAUACAGGUACAACAUCAGGUACAGUUCUAAUCAUACAGGUACAGUUCUAAUCAUACAGGUACAGUUCUAAUCAUACAGGUACAGUUCUAAACAUACAGGUACAACAUCAGGUACAGUUCUAAUCAUACAGGUACA